GCCGGGUUAGCUCAGUCGGUAGAGCGCUCCACCUGUAAUGGAGAGGUCCCGGGUUCGAUACCCGGACUUGGCG
rnacentral:tRNA from 1 species